AUGCAAAUUGGACCAAGUGUUGGUUAUACUGAAAAGUCUUCACAUUGUUCUUUAUUACUUAGGGUGUAAAGCCUAAAUUUGCACAAAACCAACAUUUUGCACCAUCUACGAUUCUUAGCUUCAGUUUCUUAUUCCUUUCACCCUUCACUCCUCAAAGACUGGGUUUCUUACUUCUUGCCCCCCAAACACAUCUUGAUUUCAUUGUCCCAGGUCCUUUUAUUUUUUAAAACUCAUCUCUCUACCUGUGAUUCAUUAAUUCAUGCAGCAUGUCCUGAUUCUUUUUUUCCGGACCAGGCAUUACGCUAGAUCUCCAAGAUAAAGGAAUGGAGGCAACCUUGCAGAACGUCACCAGCAAAGAGAUGAGAACCACACCCCUGUGUUCAAUACUGUGCCGGAGGUGGCAGAGAGGUGAGAUGGCGGCUUUCUCCAGGAAGGGAGUAGAUGCCUGACCCAGGAUCGAAUAGAAAGCUGAGGCUCACUGCCCCCGGUGGGCAGUGAGUCGGUGCGUUCCCGAGGCCAGGGUGUGGCCCAGCCCUGGCCCCCAGGAUGGCACACUUGCCCAGAGGAGUGUGAGGCCCUCCUAGGCUGACCUUGAAGCAGACCAGCCUUUCUGAGGAACGAACGUCUGCAGGUGGAAUUACCUCGGUCCGGAGGCAGAUACAGCUUGUUUCUCUUCACUCAAGAAUGUGCUUGGAGAUCAUAAAAGAUAAACACCAUUCCUUAUAACAACACCUUAGUAGCCUGUAAUCUGUACACACUGAAGUUGAGUUCACCACCUUGUUGCUGUCACUAAAGCUCCGGGUCCUUCCCCGGCGGGGCUGGCUUGUGGAAGCAGGUUGCCCUUGGCUCCCAUGUCGCCUGGAUCCAACUUCCCCUAACUGAAAACCGCCUCAUAUUCCCCCGGGCUCAUGGGCAGCUUCAGAGGACUGAGCUGUAUGCUCUGUGGCGCUGGAGCCUCGGUUUUUCCUCUGUGAAGUGGAGAUGAGAGGGGCCCCCACACCGGCUCGAAGGGAGGCUAACUGAGAUAAGAGUAGCCCAACACACAUCAGAGAGUUCAUCAGUGCUCGUGGGGUAGACGGUGGGACCUGGAGAGGACGCACGCGUGUAACAAGUGUCGCAGGAAAGAAGACAGUCUGGCCUUUGGAGACUCUGCUCCGAAUACAAACAGGAACCUCACCAGGCAGAGACCCCUCUGCCGGCUCCAUCGCACAAAUCAAGUCAGCCAGAGGAAGCCUCUGGCCUGUGAGCUCACAGUAGAUGCAGAAGGCGGCAGAAAAGACGUGCAAGCCCACAUCUGCCUUUAAUAGAGCAAGAAUUCGCACUUCUACAGCAGCACGAGGGGACCCUGGGGUAAGGCAGAAAGGAACAUUUUUCCCGGCUGCUCCCUAGAAGGGUCAGCUUAGACGGCGGCGUCUGGGGAAGAGAAGCCCAGUGGAGUCCAGGCACCCCACAGACUGUGGGGUGCAGUCAUCCUUCUGGGCACUCAUUCUCCAAACCAACGCAGAGCACCUACCUUCCUGGGCCCAGACCCGACUGGAAGGCUGGACACGGAGCAGUGCCGAUCGGCCGGCUUCUUGUCCUCGAAGCUCAGUCUGGGGUGGGGGGAAAGAGACAGGGAAUAAGUCACUGUAAAUCAAGUGAUGAAGGGGGGAUGAAGCAGCUGAGAUCACGGAGUCCUGUGUUCUAGGGGACAAGCCCUGAGCCGGGCUGUCUACCUAGGACUUACCCCAGCAGGAACUCUGAGCACCAGCCUCAAAAAUCCCCAUUUGAUUGAUGAAGAAACUGAGGCAGGGAAAGACAGAGCCCCAUACUCACUGUCUCUCAGCUGGUGUGAGGCCGGGCUGGGAUGGAACCCCAGUCCCUCCGAGGCUCCCCACCACACCCUACUGCUGUAGACAGCUCAGCGAGGCUGUGCUGAGUGCUGGGGGGGUGUGGGUGGGCAGGGGAUGGAUUGAUUAGUUAUAAGCACCUCCCAGCAGUGCUUGAGAUCCCAGCUCCUCUGUGGCCCAAUCCGUUUGAAGGGCAGAUUCAAAAUUAGGUGGUAGCACCUACGGGCAGAGGCUUAUGAAAAUGGCAUUAUUAACCUGAUGUGGAGGGGGCCCUGCCCACCUCCAGGCAGCUUGCAGAUAGAGGGGGCUGGGGCUUGUCUGUGUGGACAGGGAGUUGGAGGGGAGGGAGCACAUCGGGGGGCCCGCCAGGGCUGCCUCCUGGGGAGGACUAGCUUUGGCGAGGACGAGGGCCUGCUGGCUGAGAGGGGCAGCCCUCUCACUCAGAAAAAUGCCCGAGCUGGAGCCCCCUCUCCAGGGCAGGAUCCCCUGCCCCUUCUCCGACACAGGCUAGGACGAUGGGCCCCCUUGCACCUCAGUUUCCCCAUCCGUGUGAGAUGGAGAUGAAAACCAUCGUCACUGCAGGGAGAGCUCCGGUCCCACACCUUCCCUCCAGCCCCCUACCAUGGUGACAGCCCCCGGACACCUGUCUGCCUGUCGGAGAAGUACUCAACAGGAGAGUUCCAGAUCCGGGGGGGAGGGAGGGAGCCACAGGGAGAGACGUGGAAGGGAGAAAGGAGAGGGGGCUGAUGUCCCCAACUCAGAGAGGCUGCUCUGCGUUGGGCAGGAGUUGGGCUACUUCAGAUUUGUGCCAACUCACGGUGCAGUGGAAUCAGACAGUCUGAAUUCUUCAGACACCAGCCAAGCGUCUGUGGAGCCCCCAAGUGCCACAAGGGGGCUGCCUGGGCCACAUUUUUAAGCCCGGAAAGUGAGGAGGGGGAGACAGACAGUGGGGAUCGGCGCUUUUUGCUUUUGCAGCGGCGAUUUUGAUUUCCAUUGCAGCCCCGAUACGUGCAUGCGUGCGGGGGCCGGGCCCUGCCCUGGGCUGGGGGCAGCCAGGAGGGGGUGGCCCACCCUACCUUGGGGGUGACUGCAGGCUGCGCCCCUCCCUCACCGAGGGCCGAGCUGCAAUGCAGCAGGCUGCCGGGAGGGUCCAGGGAGCUGUCCGGUGGCCGGCUUUCCAAAGUGGGAAAGGAAGGCUGCGGGAGGGAGCAUUUCCUGGAGGGGCAGAGGGUGGAGUGGCGCCCAGGAAGCAGACUGCGCAGAGGGUCUGGCAGCUGCAGGAGGGCUGGAGAGGGAAGAGGCGGGGGGCAGGGGUGAGGGGCCCCGGGGGUCUGGGGAGAUUGGUGUGGACCUGGGCUGGAGCAUGAGUCGGUUUCCAGUGAUGUGACUGACAGGAAAGAGGGAGGCUUAGGUCGGGCAGAGAGGGCCUGAGGAUGGUGAGGCCAGCUUGGCACACAGUUUUAGGACAAAAACCCCCACCUCUCGUCCUCCCAGAACGAGCCAAAAAAUAAAUAAAUAAGUAAAUAGAAGCAUCUGACAAGCUAGACAGCUGAAUCCUUCCCAGCCUGGCUGAGCUGCUCCCAGGGAAGGAGUCUUAGGUGGCCAGCGCUGCCUUGGAGAAGGGAGGCUUCUGCAGGCCCUUUCAGAGCCAGAAGAGGCUGCAUGGCGCCAGGGGGACCUGCGGAGUGGGUAGAGGGGCCGGGGAGGGGGCAGCAGGGCCUAGGAAAGGGAUCAGCAGGCCCCGGGGGAGACAGGAGGGCCUGGGAAGGGUCUGGAGGGUCUGGGGGGGCAGGAUCGUCUGGAAGGUAGGGGCUGGGGUAACAGUUGGGGGCCUUGCUCUGCAGUGCCUUGCACUUUCUCCUUCAUCUCCCCAGCUUAGAAUGGUUUCCUUCCACUGACCCAGGCCCCUUUCUCGCCCCCUUUCCACUUUGAGGCAUUUUUUUUUGCCUUUGGAUCGGCUCCCUAACAGCCUCCAGGAUUUAGCUGAGACCCUGGGCCCCUUUGCUCUUUGAAAAGGCUUCCCCUCUCCUGCCUCCUCAGCUCCUGCACUUUAGUUUUACACGACGAUUUUAAAAACCUUUAAUUAUGAGAAAUUUCAAACAGCACAAAAGUAGAGAAAACGGUACCUAUUUUCAUCACAAUUAACACAGUUUUCAUACUGCUGCCGCCGUCAACUCUCAGCCCCUCUCAUUCUAUCCAAACCUCAUACUGUCCUUCUACUACCCCCACCUGCCCCCAGACCGCUCUGAAGCAAAUUCCAGACACCGUGCCCUUUCCUCCAGCAUUCUUCAGUGUGUAUCUCUAAAAAAGAAGGACUCUUUUCUGUUUUGAAAACAUAACCACAAUGCCAUUAUCACAGCUAAAGAAUUAACAGCAUUUUCUUAAUGUCAUCCAAUAACUAUUCAGCGUAUUCAAAUAGGCCCCAGUGGACUCAUAAAUUUCCUUUACAGUUGGCUUGUUCAGAUCAGUGCCCAAAUUCUUUCCUGCACUUUCAGGGGGCACUGGGAUUAUAGAAGGUAAAUGCAGUUACAAAUCCAGGGCUUUGAAUAUCUAGUCUCUCUCCUUAAGUGAGUAACUCAACCUCGGCAAACUUUAGUUUUCUCACAGAAAAUGGGGCAAAUUCUGGGUCUCUGCUAGGGUCCUUUAGAGGAUUAGAGAUAAUGCAUAUGAAGCCCCCAGCCCUGUAUCUAAUACAUAACAGACACUCAGCAAGCUGUAGCCGCUAGGAUUUUUCUUUUUUUCCUGGAGCCUUCUAAAGGGGACUCGGGCUGGGGUAGACAAAUCAGAGUUGGCAAAUCGUCCACAAAACAAAAGGCUCCUGGCAGGCCAGGCCCCCUGAGUGAUUAAGAUAGUACGUGCACCGCAUCCCAACAUGGCAGCCUGCAGCCCAGGGGGCUGGGACCUCCCAGCUGGCUCGCAACUCUGCUGCCCAACCGCAGACAGAAGCUGCUGCAACUGGGGACCCACUGGGGAUCCCACAGGCUGCCAAUCCGCUAGAUGGCAAUCUCUGCUGUGAGUCCAGGGGGGACCACUACCCCAACCUGCUCUGGCCACCGCCCAGCUCUGGGUGCCGCAGGGGGUUGCAUGCCACUGAAACACCGCAGAUAAUUUCUGAAAAGCAUUUCUCAAUAUGUCAUGCAAGAUACAGCAGGUUUCUCUCUGCGUAAACCCCAGCCUGAUUGCACACGCAGAGGGAAUGAACAUUUCGUGAUCAUUUGCUCAGGUCAGGCACUGGUAUGUCCACUCUCUCUUUAAAUCCUCGCCCCAGCUACGUCUGAUUUCCCUUUCUUUUACAGAUGAGAGGACUUUGAGAGGUUAGUGACUUGUCCAAGGUCAGUUAGGAAGCAGGACCCAGGAUUCCAAUCCAGGACUGUUGUGGGGAUCAAACAAGAUAAUGUAUGCGAAGGCAUGCUGUGAAUUCUGCGUGCCCAGGGCAGGAGAAUGGGGGCCCCAGAGUGGGUCUAGUGACCCUCUGUUGAUGAAGAUCUUGGCUGUGACUUCUGUGGGAAAUGAGCCAUGGACCAACCGACGUGAAUGAUGAAUGAGCGCACUAGAGCUGAUCAGCCAUCCUUAACUGAUGAAGGGCUUACCUCUGUGGGUAAGGAGCAUGGAGGCCGAUAUUCAAUAUACCCCAAUCUGAUUUAUUCAUUACCAAUGAUGAAGAUCUCGGCUGUCACUUCUGUGGAUAAAAAGCAAAGGGACUCAUAGUGAACACAGGACAGCUGAUUUAAUCAUUUAAUAAAGAAUUGUUAUCGCAAGCAAGGAGCAUAAAGUCUAAUAUAAAAUGAACAACUCUACCAUAUUUGAUUAUUAGCCCAUGGCAAAGAUCUUGAGCUUUACCUCUUUGGAUAAAGAGAGAAGAGAUCUAUUCGUUGUCCAAUGAUGAAGGUCUUAGCUGUUACUUCUGUAGGAUGAAGACCAUGGCUGCUUUAGUCAGUCUGUUUUGAGGAAGAUCUUGACUGUUACAUUUGUGGACUGGAUGCACAAUGAUUCAAUUAAGGACUAUAGAAACUUACGUAAGUAGCAGUCAAAGUAAUUGCUUCUGGUUUGGUGGUUUGUCAUGGGUGUUAACUCUGUUAUUGGAAGGGAAUAAAUGGCUACAUGUACAAAUUAAAUGAAUGGAGAUCAUGUGUGGGCCAAUUCAGUACAUCUGUGGUCAAUUAAGGAGAAAAAAGACCAUUUUAUUUACUUUCACAGUUAAUUAUUCAAUUAAUUAAUUAAUGUACAAUGUAUUAUCAAUUUUAAUUUGAGUCACAGUUGAUUUAAACCUCCCUCUAUAAAGACAUGGUUUUGUCACAUUCAAACAGUAAAAUGGGGUCAAUAUAAAGUAUUGUAUUAAUUAGUCUAUAUAGAAAACAUUGUGGCCAAUUAAUGAAAUAUAUAUAUAUUGUCAGUGGGAAGUAAUUCUAUAGAGAAAUGUUAGAGAUAUUCAAGGAUCUUGUUUCAAGUUUUUAUGACCUCCAGGCGUUUAUUUUAUUAUUAUUAGUGAAUUGAUGACUUAAUCAAUAAAAACAUGCAGACAUGAUUGAAAGUAAUGAGGGCCAAUCCUGGACCAAUGGUGAUGCUGGUGGGGUGUGAGUCAUGGAUGAUGAGUACUUGUCUGGAACUCUGAGGUCCAACCCAGUAAGAAAUCUAGUCUAUACCAUACGUCCGUUAGAAAUUAUCCUGUGGACAUAUGUUAGUAAUAUUCAAGGAUCUUGUUCUUAGUUUUUGUUAUGGAAUUUGAUUCUGUUAUUACAGGUGGAUCAAUGAAAGAAUCAAUCAGUAAGUACAGUUGACCCUUGAACAACGUGGUGUAACCCCAUGCAGUCGAAAGUCCUUGUAAGGUUAUCUCUGCUUCAGAAGCAAAGGAAUUGAUAAAUGACUCACCCAAGGCCAGGAAUCUUAAAUAGUUUGGGUAGAAUCAGGACUCAAACCCUGGUUCUUUUGAUACCACAUGUUGUGAUCUCUAAUCAAACACAAAUUUUUCCCACACUUAGUUAAUUGAAAGAUCCCUAAAAUGAAAAU